AGUGAACGCUGGCGGUAGGCCUAACACAUGCAAGUCGAACGGCAGCACAGUAAGAGCUUGCUCUUACGGGUGGCGAGUGGCGGACGGGUGAGGAAUACAUCGGAAUCUACUUUUUCGUGGGGGAUAGCGUAGGGAAACUUACGCUAAUACCGCAUACGACCUACGGGUGAAAGCAGGGGAUCUUCGGACCUUGCGCGAUUGAAUGAGCCGAUGUCGGAUUAGCUAGUUGGCGGGGUAAAGGCCCACCAAGGCGACGAUCCGUAGCUGGUCUGAGAGGAUGAUCAGCCACACUGGAACGGAGACACGGUCCAGACUCCUACGGGAGGCAGCAGUGGGGAAUAUUGGACAAUGGGCGCAAGCCUGAUCCAGCCAUACCGCGUGGGUGAAGAAGGCCUUCGGGUUGUAAAGCCCUUUUGUUGGGAAAGAAAAGCAGCAGGUUAAUACCCCGCUGUUCUGACGGUACCCAAAGAAUAAGCACCGGCUAACUUCGUG
rnacentral:rRNA from 1 species